rnacentral:rRNA from 1 species
UAUGUGAUCGUCUCUCGCAUAUCAAUAAGCGGAGGAAAAGAAACUAACAAGGAUUCCCCUAGUAACGGCGAGUGAAGCGGGAAGAGCUCAAAUUUGAAAUCUUAAAGGGUUUCCCUUUACGAAUUGUAGUUUAAAGAAGUGUUUUCUGUUGAGGUUUUGGUAAAAGUUCUUUGGAAUAGGACAUCAUAGAGGGUGAGAAUCCCGUAUUUGACCUUUACUUUCAACUUUGUGAUACACUUUCAAAGAGUCGGAUUGUUUGGGAAUGCAGUCCAAAAUGGGUGGUAAAUUUCAUCUAAAGCUAAAUAUUGGCGAGAGACCGAUAGCGAACAAGUACCGUGAGGGAAAGAUGAAAAGAACUUUGAAAAGAGAGUUAAACAGUACGUGAAACUUGUCAAAAGGGAAGCGUUUGACACCAGUGUUGUUUCUCUGAAAGUCAAUUAAAGAACUGUUUAUGCUAAGUUGUUUAGACUUUAUCAGCUAACUGUUUAGUUUUGAGCUUUUCUUUAAUGCACUUUUCAGUUAACAAGUCAACAUCAAUUUCUUUUGCUGUAAAAAAGCUUGAGGAAGGUGGCUUGAGAUUCGUCUUAAGUGUUUAUAGCCUCUUGCCUAUGCAGUCGGAGAGAUUGAGGUCUGCAGCGUAGAUCCUUCGGGGCUAAAUGCAUUUGUGCUAAGUUAUAGCAUUUUAUAGACAACUUGUUGACUAUGAUUUGUCUUGUAGCUUACUCGCUUAUGUUAUUUUACCUACGCUUAGGAUGUUGAGUAGCGACAUACGCAC